CGCCCUUCGCCGCAGUCUCGCCGCACGUUGUGUCCUCCAAGGAGAUGGAAGCUGCUAUUCAACGAGGAGGGUUGCCUAGACGCAGCUGGAAUGAUCAUGAGAGUACAGCGUGGGGGUAUCCACCCAAAUAUCAAAAGGGAAGUAUAUAUGGGAGUUUUUUCUGGGUUGUUACGACCCGAAAAGCACUACUGAACAGAGGAACCAGUUGCGGCAACAGAGAAGGCAUCCAAUGUUAGGAAAGAGAGGAGAUGGUCUUCGUCAGUUGCACUGAAGCAUGGGAAGGAUGCAGGUGAAGCGUGGAGAAGGACACCGACGUUGUCGAGGUUGUUAUAGCAGCGACACUCGAGAACGCUCAAGGGAAGAGUAGAUGCGCCUGUGUGGCUGGGUGACUCUGACCACUGGAAGCAGUUAAUCACAUGAUUGUAAAGGAAUAUGCGAAGCUGAUGACACUAGAGCUAAAGUUCUUUCUCUUGGAUUCCUCAGUUAGGACUGGAAUGUUCAGCCUCCCUGUAUGCCGACUACAUUUCUAAGACAUGAACCUAUUUUUGUACUAUGGUCAUCAUUUCGAAGAGUUGCUGAUGCACACUGCUAAUUGCUACAGUAGACACGCAGGCGCAGCUUGGUGCAUUCUUCUCUUCUUUCCCUUUAUAUUUUCUUUAUCCUUGUGCUUGUAAAUUUGUAACUCAAGAGGUCACAAACUUCUGCAAUAUGGAGGCAUCACUUUCAAACUGGUACAUAUGCAUGUAGCUGUUCAUGAAGCAUCAUUUUACUAAAGUGUCCAAUGUAUGUUCUCUUAUAAUCCAGGUGCUUGAUCAAGGCUGCGUAUGAGCUUAUUAACAUCGAUGGUGUGCUAAAUGUGAUCAUAAGGAACCUGGAAAAGGAGUAUGUCUCUUAAUGGACAUCUUUCUAUUUUGCAUUGAACUUUGAUUAAUUAUUUUACUGUACAUUUUCCAAAAUUCAAGGAUUGGCUUCUUACUCAUUACAAAUGGUUCCAGUCUUUAUUCUUAGUUUUUACAGUUACAUAAAGAACAAUGUUCAAAUUCACUGACCUGUGCUUUGUGACAGCACUUCACUGUAUGUUCAUUAUAUAUGCAUGUAGCAAUACUUCCUUUCAAUCUAUUCAUUAGUUCGUAAGCUAGAUCGUAUGCCAAGUUGUAUUUACUGGACACUUGCUACUCUUUUCCUUGUGCAAUUAUUCAGUCCUGGUUAUAUUUUGUGGUAUUUCUGAGUUGCAUAAAUGACUCGAAACAUCGGGAGCUACUAAAUAUUGCCUGUACUGAAUUUGUGCUUUUUUGCAAUAUCAAAAUAUGGUUCUCCUUCAAAGUAUUAUUUUUCCUUCUACUGAAUAUGCUUCUGGAAAGGAUCUCAACAGAUCAACUAGAAGGAGAAGAGAGCAGCCAAAGAGAAGUUAAGAACAAGACACAUGCUUCAGAUUAACUCCUAUUCCUGGACCUAUAUGCUUUUGAUAAUUGAAUUAGAUAAAACAAGUAUAUAUUUCUAAUCGUAUGAUUUUGACAUGCAGCUAAGUUUUCCAUAUGUCUGACUAUUGUGUUGCCGUGCAAAUAUGCAGAAGGAUGGUUUACCUUUUUGGGACUUGGUUUUGUGAAUCGAUGUGUUAUCUUGAGCAAAUAUCUUAUCAUUGUACAAUGUUAUAAUA